GAUGAACGCUGGCGGCGUGCCUAAUACAUGCAAGUCGAGCGAACAGACGAGGAGCUUGCUCCUCUGACGUUAGCGGCGGACGGGUGAGUAACACGUGGAUAACCUACCUAUAAGACUGGGAUAACUUCGGGAAACCGGAGCUAAUACCGGAUAAUAUAUUUAACCGCAUGGUUCAAUAGUGAAAGACGGUUUUGCUGUCACUUAUAGAUGGAUCCGCGCCGCAUUAGCUAGUUGGUAAGGUAACGGCUUACCAAGGCAACGAUGCGUAGCCGACCUGAGAGGGUGAUCGGCCACACUGGAACUGAGACACGGUCCAGACUCCUACGGGAGGCAGCAGUAGGGAAUCUUCCGCAAUGGGCGAAAGCCUGACGGAGCAACGCCGCGUGAGUGAUGAAGGUCUUCGGAUCGUAAAACUCUGUUAUUAGGGAAGAACAAAUGUGUAAGUAACUAUGCACGUCUCGACGGUACCUAAUCAGAAAGCCACGGCUAACUACGUG
rnacentral:rRNA from 1 species